UGAAGAGCAGGAAGACAUGCGGCACCACGUUGAGAGCGUCCACGAAGCAACCGUUGUUGAGGACGCCCUUGUCCACCCGGUGUUUACACACCCUCCGUCCCACCAACUGGAGCCUAGAACUGCCCAGAAGGGAUCUGACUGCGGGAUUCCUGCUCGGGCCUGGAAAGGUGAGGGGUCCAAGGCUUCUUCGAGGCCACCGAUUCCUUCACAAAAGACCCACGAGUAGACUCCUGGUUUUGGAAGAAGAAAUCACUAAAGGAGAGUCGCAGACACCCUCAGACAGGCAGGGAGAAGCUACAUACCAUCAAGGUCACCCAGCUGUCCCCGCUCUGGUUUCCGGGGAAAACGACAUGCCUUGAGAAAAGACCCGGUCGAGUGCAAAUGCCUAAAUGAGUUCACCCAGAUUUAUGCUGAUGCCUGACUUCCAAAUGCCGAGUCAUCUCAAAUAUCCAAUCUACAGACAUUAAGAGCAGCAGUUUCAUAAUCAAAUGUCAAAGUGAUUUAGGGAGAAAAAGGACGAGAGUUUUAUGGGGCCUGGAGAUGCGCUAAUAAGAUUUAGAGAGAAAAUUCAAGGCCCAGGGACCAGAAAAAUGCAUUAUUCUGGCACAUGUGGAUGCUUCCAGGAUUGGUGUGGCUCGUCUCAACGACGCGGCGGCUCCCUGCCUGGCAGCCAAUAACCCGGUAACCUGUGCUGUGUA